AUAAAAAUGACCAACACUCCAGUUGAUCCUAAUUCCAAGGUGAAGCAGCAAGUCAUUCACAGGGAAAGAGUAGGUGAUGAAAUCAUAUUGACUUUGCACACCGGAAAUGUAGUAUGCAAGAGGUACAUGAAGAAGAUAGGAUAAAACUACAAUUGACCGAGUUCCUAUAUUCGUCUUCUUGAAGUAUGAUCACAUAAACAGUGAUGACUUUUAUUUAUAGAACUUUGUGGUGACAUAUAAAACACAAUGCUCUAGAUGGUAAAGGGAGUGAAAAAGGAAGCUGUAUAAUUCAAUUAUAAAUGUGCUUUCGUAAUUAUCGUAUCAAUAUUUGAUAUAAUUGCAAACUAAAUACUGCAGAAACACAGUGAUUAAAUAAAAAACCCGUGGUUUGCUAUAACGGUGAUUACAGUGUUCUGUUGCAAAGGAAGGAAAAAUGUUAAAGAGUAUGUUGUGCGUUUACAUAAAUAAAAAGGCAUUCUUUUAAU
rnacentral:misc_RNA from 1 species